rnacentral:rRNA from 1 species
GACGAACGCUGGCGGCGUGCUUAACACAUGCAAGUCGAACGAAGUGGCGAACGGGUGAGUAACGCGUAAUCAACCUGCCCUUCAGAGGGGGACAACAGUUGGAAACGACUGCUAAUACCGCAUACUGAAGGGGGGGAGUGCGGCUGAUUGGCUAGUUGGGGGGGUAACGGCCCACAAAGGCGAUGGUCAGUAGCCGGUCUGGGAGGAGGAACGGCCACAGUGGGACUGAGACACGGCCCAGACUCCUACGGGAGGCAGCAGUGGGGAAGCUUCCGCAAUGGACGAAAGUCUGACGGAGCAACGCCGCGGGAGUGAUGAAGGCCUUCGGGUUGGAAAGCUCUGUUUAUCGGGACGCGGUACCGGAAUAGAAAGCCACGGCUAACUACGUGCCAGCAGCCGCGGUAAUAC